rnacentral:lncRNA from 1 species
GGAGCGGGCGGAACUUGAGAAAAUCAAACUACCAGAGUGCAGUUGAGGGGUAGCGGGCUGCGCUCGGGAAACGACUCCCCUUUUCUCCUCCACCUGUGACCUUUAGGUUCCUGGAAAACUUUGGUGUUGGGGGUGUGAAAUGUGGGGGUGCACGUGGAGGGAAAAAGAGACUCCCCUCCCCCUUGGCUUCUCUCCCACCAACCCGGGAAUGGAGGGGGAGGGAGGCGUGGGCUUGGCGCGUUUUUGGUGCUUUGAAUGGAGAACUCCGUUUCCCAUGAUGCUUUGUUUCUUUCUCUUUAAUUUCGGUGGCGGCUGCGGCAGCACGAGGACGGGAGCGCGUGGUGUGAGCAGCUGGAGCACACCCUGGACGCGCGGGCCGCUCCCGGACUUCAACGGGAGCAUUAGGUAA